UGGGAACGUGCAGCCAUGAGGUCCAGGGUGCAUUUUAGAGAGGACGGGUUGGAGGUCAUGGUGUGGUCUGGAAGAAAGGUCAGGAAAUGGAAUCAUGGUGUUAGUGGUUUAGAAAAGUGGUCCGAUGCCAGAGGCUAAGUUACUUGGCUUGGUUCACACAUCAGCAAGUUCAAACCGAGUUCAGUUGUGCUGCGAAGCCAAUAUGCUAAGUCACCAUAAUUUAACAACAGGUUUCCCCUCAAGGUAUCAUGACAUUAUUUUUUUGGGUCUCAACCAACUAGCAUUUGUCAAAGAGAGAUGGAGAGAGAGAGAAUGAAAAGAAGGAAGGAAGGAAGGAAAGAAGGAAGGAAGGAAGGAAGGAAGGAAAUAGAAUAGAAUAAAAUCACAGUUUAUUUCACGGAGUGAAGGAAGGGUUGCUGCGUGCAAAUGUGUUUCUGUGCUGUAUGCUUAUCUGCAGAUGGAUGUACCGGGCUGUGAUAUGAAACCUAUUUUUAUGGCUGGUUGUGGCUCCUCUGAGCUGCUAUUGGGUUUGCCCUCCACCCCCUCUCACGCUGACUCUGGGCCCUUCAAAAUGAGUCAUAGAGAGUCAUUACCACUCCCCCCGACCCAACCCUGACUCUGCUGUACACCUCAUGGUUUCUGAUAAUACAGCAUUGUGAAGUCGGGGGAAGGCUGGCAGAGGGGCCCAGUCUAGUCUGUGACCUGAGCCAUCAUGGUAGGGUGUCCAGGGUGAGGGGAGGGUGGUGUGAAUCCCCAGUAAUGCAGGUCCUUUCCAGGCCAGGCCCCUGGUCCCCAGGAGUGCGGGGAUGCCUGAGGUCUACUGCUGCCUUAUCCAGAGCUGCCAUCCCCGGCGAUGACUCAGAGUUCCUGUGGCCCCAGCAUCAUCCCUCCAUCCCUGGCUGUGAGGCAGGAGCAGAGUUGCAGACCUGAGAGGCCUUGAAUUUGUUUGAUAUAGGACUUUGCCACCAGACAAAGUGCUUUGCCUGUGAGGUCUGGCUUGGCCUGGCCUCUGAGAAAGAACAAACACAGACCUCACUGGAAGGAACCUGGAGAACGGGAGAGGAGAGGCUGCUGCUGUCUGCCCUCCCAGCAGCAGAUAUAAAGACAAUGGGCUUCUAAGUCCCCUAGAGUCCCAGCUGUGUAAUUUAAGGCAAAUAUAAUUUCUGACCUACGUAAUGAUGUAUGCACAAGAAGCCUCUCUUGAAUGUAUUAAUUCAGUAAACAGUUAUGGAGUCCUUACAAUGUGCUAGUGGGACUUUGAAGAUGAAUCCAAAUUUGGAUCCUGGCCUGGAAAGGCUCAAAGCCCAAUAUGGGAGCCUGGAUACAAAUGUGAAACUUAUCUUCUUUUAUUAACCAAUCAAUCACCUCCUGCCAAAACAACAUCAGCAAAAACAACAGAAAAAAACAAAAACAAAAACAAAAACAAAUCUGUGUACACAAGACCUUUGUUUCCACAGCAGACUUGGCUAAAGGUUUGGGCAUGCAUAUGCAUACCCCCAAAAUUAAAAAUGGAAAAUUGAACACUUCUGUCCUUCAAAGUUAUUUGUUCUCUCCUACAGGGUCUCACUCUUAUCUUCGUUCUUCUCCCCGCACUCCCACCACCUUACUUACUCCCAUGGCAUGCUACAUCCUUGAAUAAAUAUGCCCAAGGCAGAUGUGGUAAUGAAGAUUGGUUGAGAAUUCUGAAGGCAGACGUCCCAGACGCCAAUCACACAAUUUCUCUGUGGCUCACUUUUCUUAUCUGUGAAAAGGGAGCUAGUUACCACCAGC
rnacentral:lncRNA from 10 species